CAGAAAGGUUCUGGAUUACCAAGAGCUUGCCAUCAGCAUGUUCUUUGUACAUUGGGAACAUAGAAGACAAAAGUUAACAUUAGUGAAGAUUACUGCAGAAACUAAGAGAAUUUUGCCAAGUUUAUUGAGUUUGCAGAGUUGUCAACCUGCAAAUGGACGAUAACUCACUUCUAAUGGUGUUCCUUAAAAUCUUUUCCGGUCUGGGGUAAGGUUGGUUUCCUUAACAGAAAUUCUGUGACCGUGAUUCUGCAUAUUCUGCAUGAAGAUUUUCAGUAAAGUACUAGUCACACUGUGAAACUAGACAUUUCAGAAAAUCAUUCUGGUUGUUAACAUUGAAGGAUGGAAAUAAGUAUUUUUCCUGUUUGAGGAAAGUUUAUAAUGCACAAGAAAACAUUAAAAGGAAAUCCAGCUGUUAGAGCCCCCUAAGCAAGUUCAUUCUGCUUAUUAGGAAAAUUGAUGAUUUGAUUUUAACUGCUUCUGAUUUAAUUAUGAAAAGGUGAUGCAGUCUGCAAAUCAGGAACUCUAGAGCCAUGGUCACCAGUCAUGGAGCAGCAGAACAGGUGUUUGUGCAUGUUGCAAUGCUGUUGAGCUGAGCUCACAGCAAGGGGACAGGACAGGGACAGCACCUUUAGGAUAAUGGCUACAUGAGAAGAUGAGAUGUACUUCCCAAAUGAUAUAUUACGAUUAAAAAAGAUAAUUAUAUUUUCCUUCAUAAUGGAUGACAGGUUUUAGUGAUCCAGUUGCAGCUUUAAACAAGGAAAAGAGCUGGUCUUAGAACUGAAAGUAUCUUCAGUAUAAUCUUGUCCUUCCUAAGUAUUCCCCUGUAUGCACAGUUGUCCUAGCUGAUCCCAUUCCCCCUUCCAGCCAUCCCUUAAGUAGUUGGGGCAGUUAAAGCAACUAUGAAAGCAGAAUAAUUUGUAUUGUGAUCCAAACCAUGAGCAUUCACAAUUUAAGAGCUCUGUGUAUCCCCUGGUUAGUGCUUGCAUUUGGCUCAUAGACAAACCUCACACUAUAUAUCUGCACACUGGGAAAUAGCAGAGAAAGUUAAAGGUUGUAGAGAGAGAGAAGAAAAAACAUAUCUGAAAGAGAAGCAAGAAUAGGAGUGAAAAUAUUGAAUAGGGCUAAACUGUGGUAAAGGGUACACAGUAAAUAUUUGAGGCAGA
rnacentral:lncRNA from 1 species